rnacentral:rRNA from 1 species
CCUACGGGGGGCUGCGUUGCCGGUCGCGUCCAGGGCGAAACCGCCGUCCACGGCCGCGGUCUGGACCCGGAGGCCCUGGCUGGCCAGGAAGCGGGUCACGUUCUCCUUGGCCGGCUCGUUGUCCACCAGCACGCGCAGGCUGCCGGAAACGCCCUGGUCCAGGCACUGCUUGCACUUGAGCACGGGCUGGGGGCAGGGCAGGCCCCGGCAGUCGAGAACGGUCGCGGACACGGCGUUUCUCCUUGUUUGCCGUGUGCCACCAUAGAGCAGGGCCCAGGUCAAAUAGCCGGGAGCGAUGCGUUCUCGCAGAUCGGAUAGAUUUUCAUAAUCGCAUAUGGGCCUUGCGCCCAAGGCCCAGUCCAUUUAUGCCUGCCCCGGUAGUC